UUGGAGGGCAAGUCUGGUGCCAGUAGCCGCGGUAAUUCCAGCUCCAAUAGCGUAUAUUAAAGUUGUUGCAGUUAAAAAGCUCGUAGUUGAAUUUCGGGAUUAGUACGCUGGUCGUGCCUUCGGUACGUACUGGUGUUACUGAUUCCUACCUUCUGACGAACCAUCAUGUCAUUAAUUUGGUGUGGUGGGGAAUCAGGAUUGUUACUUUGAAAAAAUUAGAGUGUUUAAAGCAGGCUCGCGCUUGAAUACAUUAGCAUGGAAUAAUGAAAUAGGACGUUGAUCCUAUUUUGUUGGUUUCUAGGAUUGACGUAAUGAUUAAUAGGGAUAGUUGGGGGCAUUAGUAUUCAAUUGUCAGAGGUGAAAUUCUUGGAUUUAUUGAAGACUAACUACUGCGAAAGCAUUUGCCAAGGAUGUUUUCAUUAAUCAAGAACGAAAGUUAGGGGAUCGAAGACGAUCAGAUACCGUCGUAGUCUUAACCAUAAACUAUGCCGACUAGGGAUCGGAUGAUGUUAUUUUUAAUGACUCAUUCGGCGCCUUACGGGAAAC
rnacentral:rRNA from 1 species